UCGGCAGGUCGGCGAGCGGCCCCGACGUGGCGGUUGCGUCUCCGGCCCGCGUGCUCCUGCGUUCCCCUGCCCCCGGGAGACCCUGAGUGUGGUUGAGCCUGGAGAAGAGGAACGUGCGGGAGGCCCACGUCAGGGGUUCCGAGUGAGGCGUGUGGGCAAUGGUGGGGACCUGGGACGCUGGGCGCGGUGCUGAUGAAUCCAUGUGUCCGAUCCUGGCCGCGGCGGAGGCGCCCUUGCUGCAGACGACUUGUCUCCAGCCCCAGCCGCCUGCCGGGUCUGCCUCAGGUACCCGUGGCCCGGCUCGUGUCGAGGGCGUCGCACUUUGCGUGCGUGCCCCCUGCAUUUCCGCUUUUGCCCAGGCCCGGCUGCAUCCAGGAAGGCUUGAGCCUCAGGGACCUGUGGCCGGACGUGCUGCACCGGCGGUGCUCGUUGGGGAAAGGAGACGGGCUUUGAUGUGGGUAACCAGGAAGAAACCAAGAGCUGACCAGAAGGCUGAGGUCAACAGUGCUGCAGUGGAGAGUCGCGGCCCCUCGCUCGGUGCAGAUCUGGAGCUAGUUCUGAGACCCGGACUCCACGUUCCGGGGGGAGGCCUGGCCUUUUUCAGGAAGAUCCUACACUGGCACCACGAAUGUGUACACAAAUCCUUCUCCAGUUAGCCUGGUUUGGACAAGAGACUAGCCGGGCCUCUCCAGGGCUGUUCAGUACAGGGUUCGGGCUGACACCUGUGCCAGGGUGCCCGAAGCAUGUGGGCCCUCUGGUCUCAGUGUCUGUCCAGCAGUAAGAUGGGCUUGUCCUUUGACCCUGGGCCUCUGAAAGAGAACCGUAUGGUGGAAAGAACAAAGUGGAAACCCCUGGAACUGCCCCUCCCCAGCCCCAAGCCUUCCAGGGCAGUGCAUCAGAGACAGCCCUGUGACCCGGAUGUCGCACAGUUAUUCAGCCUCAAAGACUUAAUUGGAGGCCCCACUGCAUCCCAGAAUUCACCUGGAGGCCCCUGGAGAACCCAGAAGGAUUCCCGUAAACAACGGAGACCACUACAAACAGCACAGUAUCCCUGGUUGUGGCAGCUGGAGCCAAGUAACGCACCCUGGGACGUGAUCACAUAAGAAGAGGUGGAAAUGCUGACUGACUGCGCAGGGGCGUCACCACGAUGAGGAUACCUGAUGCUGGACUCUCAGAAGUGUGAGGAGCUGAUUGGAGGAAAACCGUCUUUGAGCAAGAAGUUUAUAUGAAGGAGUCUAUCGAGACAGUCAAAGAUUUUUUUUUUUUUUAUUUGCUGAUAUGGUGCUAUGCCAAUAGCCUAUAAAGCUGCUGUCUGCAGUGCUGGCAUCCCAUACGGGUGCCGGUUCAUGUUUGGAUGCCCCAGUUCUGAUUCAGCUCCCAGCUAAUGGCCUGGGAAAACAGUGGAUGAUGGCUCAAGUGUGUGGGCCUCUGCCGUCCAUGAGGGAGACCUGGAAGAAGCUCCUGGCUCCUGGCUUUGGCCUGGCCCAGUGCUGGCUGUUUCGGGCACCUGGGAGAAUGAACCAGUGUGUGGAAGAUUUUCUCUCUCUCCCUCUCUCCCUCCCUCUCUCUGUAUGUAUGUGUGUGUCUCCCU